GAGGUUACAAGCCGUGAGACUUUGUAGACAAGUAUCUCACUUAACAAAACAAACACUUUCAAAUUAAUAUUUUGAGCAUUGUACACUGAUAUAAUCAAUAUAUCUUACUUAAUAUAUUCGGAAGGUUGGAGGUAUAAAUAAAUCGCCUGGAUCAUAUGAACGUAAAAUCCUGACAGGCCCAUCGUUAUUUUACUGUCUCCACUGCAUCCGUCUAUUGAUAGCCGUGAAAGUGUUGACAUGAAAAUAUCGCACUUGGUUCGUGUGGCUUGGGUGGAGGAAGGUCAAAUAAUAAAGAUAUAAAUUAUCCAUUGCAUACAGGCCUUGGAUCGGGUAUACCAAACAUCGUUAUUGGAUAUAAAAUGAAACACAUCUUACGUGGCCUCUCUGAGCAGCACAAACGUGAUGACGUACAAUUACAAACUUUGAGGAAAAUUACCGCUAGUGUAGAUGAACCACAAUGCCCAAGUAUUUUUUGGUUGGGAUAGUCUUAGAAGACUAUAGACGUUUCUCCGGUUAUAGACUUUAAUAAAGCUUCCCUCUUCAAAAGUAUUUUUGGAUAACUUGGUUGUAAAUGCAAACGGUAUGCCCCCAUUUCAAGCGACGAUCAAUUAUCAAAAUGUUAAUCAGUAUGAUGUUAUCCUCAUAAAUUUGACAAAAUUACUAUAACUUUAAAGGCUACAUAAAUACCUGAGAUUUUUUAUUUGAGAUAUCUACAUUUGAUUAAUUCAAGCUGUUCGAAAAAAAUGUUUAUUAAAAUGAGCCUGCUUAAAAAAAACAUUUCUUAUCGUAAUAAUUUAACAUUCAAAACGAAUAAUUAUGUGACUUUUUUGUACUUAAUCUUUUAUUAGACCUUGUUUAAAAUUCUUAUGAAAGUAUUGCUAAUUUUGUGUAAUGUAAUUAAUUAAUUCUAGUAAUACUUCAUUUACAUAGCGAGGAUAGCUAUAUUUGUAUUAAUACAUUAAGGUUAGUUCUCAUUCUUAUUUAUUUUUCAGUAAAACAAAAUAAUAUUUAUAAAAAAUAACUAGUAAAUGCUUUUUAAGUGAGGAUUAAUAUCAUAGAUAGUUGAUAUAUGUAUAAUAAUUAAGUGGUCGUUUCUACCAUUAAACGAUGAACACGUUGGUAUUAAACGUAUUUUUAAACAUGAUAAUGAACAAUUAAAAAACAUCUACGUUAUACAGGAAACUUAUCGAUUUUUGCGAUGGAAAAGUUCUGCAAAUAGUAACAUUAUACGAACACACCCAACUCACAAUUGUUUGCUGUAUCUGUAAACUAUAAUAUUUCGCUAUUCCACGUAAACCAUGUACCAGACAUAUCGAAAUAAACGUUCUCUCAAAUU